AUAGUAUUAGCUUGAUCCUUGAUGCCACUCCAUAUUGAAGAAAACACAUGAUGAUUAAUGAAAUCACUGCCUCUCUUCACCCUACUUCUGAGGAUAUGAGCCCACUGUGUAUCUGAGUUAAGGAAUUCCCAAAAUAGCUUCAAAUUUGAGGCCUGAUUCAGUUUAGCGAAAGACCUAAUACCAAGCCCUCCUUCUGCAAUAGGAGUACAAACUGUGUUCCAAGCCACUGUCACCAUUUUCCUAGUCAAUAAGUCCCCACUCCAGAUAAAAUUUCUCAAAUACCUUUCAAGUUCUUUAAUAAGAGUUACUGGCCAAGAGUAAAUUAUAAUGGAAUAAGUCAGCAUGCUUUGAACCACACUCUUGAUCAAUUGAACUCUACCAGCAUAAGAUAACAUUGAAGAUUUCCAGGAGGCCAGUUUAGAUUUAAUCUUAUCAACAAUUGACUGUAAGUAAGUGAGUAACCUUAGGUUUACCUUUAAAGAUAGGUACACGUAGAUAAGUAAAAGGCAAAGAACCUAUAUUGAAACCAAACAAAUUUGCAAUAUGAUUGAGCCUAGAAUGAGACAUAGAACCUGCAAAAAUGGUUGACUUCUGAGGAUUGAUAACCUGACCUGAUAUCGGAGCAUAUCUUGUAAAAAAGUUUGUAAGAGUUUGAAUAUUAGCAGAUGUCCCUUUACAAAAUAGAAUCACGUCAUCAGCAUACAAAAUGUGCGAAGGGAUAUAGGUAGUUCUAGUUGCUUCAAUAAGUUUUAACUGGCCUGCUACAACUAGCUUUGUUAACCCUAACCUCAGGACCUCCUCAGCAAGACAAAAAAGAAGAGGUGAUAGGGGAUCACUUUGUCUUACACCUCUAGCACACUCAAAGAAGCCCUCAUGCUUACCAUUUACUGAAAUAGAGAGCUUGGUAGAUUUGAGAAUAGUAUAACUUCAUCUGUCACUAGGCUAGGUAUAACUUCAUCAAUAAGACCAUUGUAAGCAACAUUGUUGUUGUUAGAGAAAAGAGUUUGAAAAUGAGUAACUACAUGAUUGGAAAUCAUAUCUGGAUUGGUGAUAACCAAAUCAUCAACUCUGAGGGAAGAAAUUUUCUUGAAACUUUUCUUUACCUUUGCAGUCCUACGAAAAAAAAGAAGUGUUUCUGUCCCCUUGAGCAUGUUCAACUGGUAUCUUGUCACCCUUGGCUUUUUUACAGAUACUCAAAUCCUGUCCAAUACACCUACAGAAGUGACAGUAUUGUGGCAAAUUCUCAUAUUCAAUAUCAACAAAGAAAGCAUAACUAAUUCUUUCGACUAAUACCCUGUAAAGAGGUUCUUUUUUGAGGUCCAUAUCCACCAAAACCCUAACAAAGUGUCCAAAUUCUCUAUCAAAUUUAGACUUGCUAGUGAGUUGAUCAGUAUAAAUAGGAGUUCCCACGCUACUUGCGGUGGCAAAUAAAAUCUUGGGACGCCAGCAUUCUUGUGACAAACCAAAAAUCUUGAUCCAAACUUGGGCUAAUGAGUUUUGUUGCAGACUAGGAUUAAAAUCCUUGUUCCAAGUAAAGAGCUUUAGCAAACCCAACAAGAAACGGAAACGACCCCAACAACAACAACUAACCCUAAAGAAGAACAAGAAACCACGCAUAAACAACUGGGUCUGGGAUGAUGAUGAUGAUGAUGAUCAUAGUAUCUGUGUCCAUCUUAUGUUGGGUUCAUCCUCGUGUAUACCAACAUGUGUUCAUCAAACAAACAACAACAUUAUUGUUGCUGCUGCUGAUGAUGAUCAUCAAUGGGUGAUCAAGAAGGUUCUUGAAAAAAAUGACGUUUGUCUCCAUUUGUGUAGGCUUUUGUUGAACAAAGAAGUCCCUCAAAAAUUCAUUAUUCCUUUCUUGUUGGGUGGUGCUGAAGCUGCUCAGACCAAACAGGGAAUUCAAGAUUCAAGUUCAAGUCCGCAACACCGACAUCAACUUUUGCUGUGUACUUUUGCUUAUCUCAGUUGUGUUGUGUUAGCUCCAAUGAUGUCAACCGUGGAUUGCGGAAAAUCGUAGUUUGUUCAAAUUCCGCCUAACAUGCUAUAGUGAUAUAUGGUUGCUAUAACCACUAUUUGACAACAAUUUGUACUAAACAAUAGCGUAUUAUUGUGUAGCAAUAAGAGUUUGUUCAAAUUCUACUACGCUCUAGCGCUGCUAUUUGACAACAGUCGUUAGCUCCGCCCUUGUUAGCUGUUUUACCUACCUUGGACCAUCAUGUCACUGCAUUCUUUGAUUAUAUUUACAAAAAGGACAAAGGAAAUUUAAACACUAAAUGCUAUGCAUUGUGAUGAUCAUAAAUUAGACCGUACCAUUAUGGAAGAAGAUUCGGGUAAAAUAUGCACUUCUUCGGGAAUAAAAAAAAUUUGAUCUAAUUUUAUUUGGUAUUUUGGAUUUAAUUCUUUGAUUCCUCUAUACUCAAUGAAAUCUUCUUUUUCAAAAAUGGAAUGAAUUCCUAUUCCUAUAGUUGUUCUAUAUUUAGUANNNNNNNNNNNNNNNNNNNNNNNNNNNNNNNNNNNNNNNNNNNNNNNNNNNNNNNNNNNNNNNNNNNNNNNNNNNNNNNNNNNNNNNNNNNNNNNNNNNNNNNNNNNNNNNNNNNNNNNNNNNNNNNNNNNNNNNNNNNNNNNNUUUACCCUUUCCGUCUGGUUUGCACCAAGUUAAAUUCCUAGCUGUCCUUUGUCUCUAGCCCCAAAUCAAUAAAGCUUCCCUGAUUCAGUGAGAGCAAAGGUAUGAGCAUUCCAUUAAAUGAAAUUGGUCAGACUAAUCUGUACCACCCUUUCAUUGAUCUAUUUCAACAUGAACAGCUUUGAAAUUGGUAAAUGCAUCUACUACCUUAGGUUCUGCUACCCAUUCUUCAUUUCCCAUGUCCCAAACAAUUGUGUUGGCCUCGUCCCAAUCUGCAAACGCGGCCAUCCCAACCAACAACAGCGGCGUGCCAAGCACCGCCUGGAACAAGUAACAACCAUGGGUUGAAGGUUUGGCGUCUCAUCGUUUGGAACUGUUUGAUCAAAAAAGGGAACUACUCAUCAGUUCUUGUUUGUUCCGUGUACUAGCUUGCCUCCCAAGCCACACCAACUAGCCUUUAUGAGAAGAAAUACCUUGUGACAUUUGGCUCCACAAGUGAAGCAUUUGUUCCAUUCAAUGAAUUGGCAUGAAUCACAUUCUCAUCCAGAAUACCAUCUAGACUGUCUAACUACCAUAAAUCUGCUUACAAUUAUAUCAAGGUUCACUUGUUUACUUGUUUAGAACUAGCUCUAGGAAUAAUGGAAAAGAAUCAUGGAAUUCUCAGAUACCAAAAGUAAUAUUCUAUGCCAAUAAAUCUAUGAUGUUUGUAAAAUGCAGAAACCAAAUAAGACCAAAAGUAGCACACACCUUAACAUGAAAGGUAUCUUUUGGAAGUUUUGUUGUAAGGAGUCUCUAACACACCAACCGAUUUAACUUUUUCUGCAAGAAUGUCAAGCAAACGUGAACACUCUUCAAUUUUUAAUAGAUAGUUGGAGAUAGCCAAAGUGCUGGCAUAAUCCCCCUAUUAUAUUCACCGUCACCAUUUUCCUCCUUGUGACUACUAUUGCUACUACUGCUAGCAGAAUUGGUAGAAGCCAUUUUGGUAGUUUUCCCCUUGUAAUGAUAACGAUGAUCCUUUUCUUUAAGUCCACUAGACAUCCCUUUCUCUCCUUUCUUAGCUUCACUUUUAUUACCAUGAGAAAUUCAAUUCAGCUUCUAACUGCUUUCUAUAGGAGGUAACUAAAACUGAGCUUUGAAUUCCAGUUACCCUUUGGAUUUAACAGUUAAAACCAGAUUUUGCAUAUCAUAAAACCUUACUUUUCCAUGGCCUUACACUUUAUUUUCUAUCCAUUCUUCUCAAGUAGAUUUGAGGAACUAAAAGUACUUGACUCACAUCAAUUCCAACUCUAACAACUUUAGCCUCAGUAGAUUUUUUAGCCAAAUAUUGUUCCAUUUCUCUUUCACCUGGUUUUGAUGGUCUAAAUAACUACUCCUUUUUUCUCAUGUGAAACCAAACACAUAAAUCCAAGGCUUAUUCUCUCAUCAUCAGAUUCAUCAUCAAUGAAAAGAACACUUUGAUCAGAUAUUUUGAUUCUUAAACCAUCAAAACCUGCCAAAGUCAACUCUCAUAUUUGCAUAAAUCUUGUAAGUAUCCCAAGGCGCAAUCCUCGUGACAAAUGGUGUGACAGACCUCUAAAAAUUGAAUGUAAUCUCCAUAUAAAAGUAUCUCAUCCUUCUCAUUGUCGCGAAGUAACGAGGAACCUUCGGUAACAUUUUUCGUCCAUUUCGUUAUAAGAAUACGUGAUCAUAAUCGAUGCUAUUUUGUCCUGCUUUUUUUUAUGAUAACUUCUCUAAAAGAAUCUCAAGGAAGAUUGAUAUUGCAGGAUGGUUAUAUUUAUAGGAUUGGUGAUAUAGCUUUUUGUUGUUUGUUUUUUCCAUUCUUUGAACGAGGAUAUCUUUUAUCGUCGGUCAUUGCUUUACUGAUCUUUAGGAUCUGAUGUAUAUGAUAGCUAAUCAUUCUUUUCAACUGAGUACCACACCCUAGUCCUUUCCAUUUCUGUUGAUAAUAGAUGUUAGUAUUCCCGCUGUAUUGUAUUGUAUUGCAGGAAAGUUUAAUUUCAUUAGUGCUGAGGGUGGUCGAUCUUGUUGGUGACCGUGAUAUACCUGUUAUUGCAGCUGGAGGAAUUGUAGAUGCUCGAGGUUAUGUUGCUGCUCUAGCACUUGGUGCUCAAGACGUCUGUCUAGGCACUAGGUAUUGAAACAUUUUUAUGUUUUUUCGCUUCAUCCGUAGAAGCCGAUCUGUAGGCUAGUAACUUGCACAAAUGAGUUCCUUAUAUUUUGUGUAUUUCAUCUUAGUUUACUGAUCAUGUAUGGCCAGAGUGUUCACAUUUUUAUUGGGACCAAGUCUAGUCAAAUUUAAUUUGAAUUGGACUUUUUUUCUAACACUAAUAUUCAUGCAAAUGGUCUUGUUUGCAGAUUUCUUGCAACUGAGGAAAGCUAUGCUAAUCCUUUAAACAAAAGAAAGGUAAUCAAACUCGAUGAAACUGAAUACACAAAUGUAUCUGGAAGGGCAAGAUGGCCUGGUGCCCCACGGCGUGUCCUACAGACACCCUUCUUCAAGGAAUGGAGAUCCCUUCCAACCCAUGAAAGUGAAGCCAACAAGGCUGUGAUUGGCCAUUCAACGAUUCACGGUGUGGUAAAGUUAGUGGAAGCCUCUUUGUAGGCUACUGUACUACAACCUUUUUAUCUGAUUAUACUUUUGUCAUUCACCAGGAAAGAGGACAACUACAGGAGAUCUCGAGAGCAUGGUGAUGUAUGCUGGCGAAGGCGUUGGUCUCAUCAAGGAAAUUUUGGCUGCUAGUGAAGCUAGUUGAAGGGGCUCAACUUAUAAUACAACAAAACUUCAAGUAGACUGUCAAAUUUCAAGUAGCUUUGUCAAAUCCUUGUAUGUACAAGAAUGUUUUAUUAAGAAGAAAAAAAGUUCAGUUUGAUGUUUCGAAAUACAUUUUGAAAAACAGUUGGUUGUAGUUAGCUAAGACAGUUAGCGUGAUUCUGUUAUACACAAGUAUAACAUUCGAGGAAUCACCACCUGAAUGAAUCCCCAGUCGAAACAGAACCAGGAUUUUGGGGUGUGAAAGAAUUGGGGUUAAUAAUUUUUGAGAUUCAGCCACAAAAUAAGUAUGAUAAAAUUUAAUAAUAAUGUAAGAAAAUAAGCUACAUAAAUCAUAUUGUAAGAAAAAAAAAACAGAUAAAUCCCAAAGCUAGUUAACAAUGUGUUCAAUAUAUUUACAACAUCAAUAAAAUCAAAGGAAACCAUUAUAAUUAUUAUAAUCAAACGCACAUGAAUUCAAACUCUAAUCAUGAUGAUGAAACAGUUCAAUGUGAUUGCAACUAUAGUUGAGUUAAUGGUUUUGCACAUAUAUAUUGAAACAUAGUCAACAAUUAUUGCAAGAAUCACAAUGUUUCAUUCCUUUUAUGCUUUCACCACAAACAAAUAUGAAGUGGUAUCAUCAUUGUUUAUGACUUUUCCCUUUCUUUGAUUUGUUCUUCUCUUGCAUCUUUUUUUUCUUUUCUUCAGCAGUAACCCAAGUAUAAUCUGGUGGAAUUGCGAACGGGUCUGGAAUAUUUUCUAUCCGACUACUGCUGGAACCUGCCACAGAUGAACUAGGACGGUAUGGAGCUUUUAUCCAUUGAAACCAAGAUGAAGCCGAUAAAUUUGUCGCUGCAGGGCUCUCUUCACCGGAUGCGGAUGGACUUGUAGGCGGCGUUGCAAAUUCAUCUAAUGGCUGUAGUUCUUCAAAUUUUGUAAAAGUGACUAGUACUCUGAUGGUGGGAACCACAGGAAUGGCAACCUGAAUAUGUCAUAAAAGAAUAAUGAGUUUAAAAUCAUUCAUAAAGAAAGAGAUGGAAAAACGUAUGAGAAUGAAAAAAAUAAACAUAUCACGAAUGUUUAAAAAGAACAAGGUUUAAAAAUAAAUACAUUUUAAAGCCAAGAUAUAUAUUAAAUCUAGUCUAUAUACCUAAUUACAUCGGAGAUAUAUACAUGAAAAUAGGAAUAUUUACAUAAAAGGAAAUAAGGGAGAUAGUAUCUCCCUCGAAGAUUCUAUUAAUUACGCCAUAUCUCAACAACAAGGAUAAAAAUUCGUCAAGAGGUUAAACAGCAAAAUACAUAAAAGAACAUGAAAAAUAAAGAAUGCGGCAAAAUUUCUUGAAAUGACAACUUUCUCGAACCUAACUUGCUAAUCACUAAAGGGUGGCUGAAAACAACAUCCAAUCAGAGAGGCAUAACAAAGCAAGAAGCUACUGAAACAAGGAAAAGUAAUUAGAUGUAGCACCAUAUAAUAUCCCCUUUAGAGGAUAUUAGCAAGGUUUCGACAUUACAGCCAGGAGAACAACUUAAAGAGGAUAUUGCUUCCAAAUCAAAGUCACACUGAGACUUUUGCUAAUGUAAUAAGCUCUUAGUUUUUCCAUCCAUUCGAAACUUUUGGUUUUCGGAAACAGUUUAUCAAAAUGAGAUAUAUUCUUUCUCACUACAAGAAAGAAACUUCAAUUACUGCUAGAGAUAAAAUAUCUAACUCUUAAAGCACAUUCCUCUCUGUGAAACAUAACUCACAGACAGAAUAAUACAAACGUCAUAUAUUUUUACAUUACAAAAAACCCUAGUAUAUUUUUUUCUAAAUAAGUUGUUUCAGAAGAAGAAAAAUAAAGGUAAAUACAUGGAUAGAAGAUAAGACAUGUUUCAAUGCAAACAAGAAACAGCAGGAAAAGGACCAAUACGACAAAAUAACAAAAACUUAGACAAUGACAUUAAUCAACUACAGAAGAGCCGUGGAGAAAUGAAAGUCUUGAUUAGCUAGAUUUAAGCUAAGCAGUAAGCACCAUAAAUAGGAAACUGCAAAAGCUUGUUUCAAAUGUAAAACAUUACCAUGUCACAGAAAACAAUUGAUUUUCUGUUUUCAACUCCCUUUUUGAUAAGUUAAAAGUUAAAAUAAAGGAUUAUAUCUAAUCAUAACUCAUAAGUAAUGGGACAUGAGACAGGAAUAAUGCAAUUUUAAAUACAAAUAUCAGGAUUAUAAGGUAUGUGGUAAAAUUUAGAGACCUUUUAAAAUCAUGUAUAGCACCCGAAACAUUUCUACAGUUCAUCUUCUUAGCUUGAAUUUUAUGGCUGCAUCUCCUUAAUAAGCCAAAAUAGAGAUAAUUAUGAAAUUACUAUAAGUUCUUUAUACAUUAUUUUGUAUACCUUACAAUCCUGAUAUUUGUAUUUAAAAUUGCAGUAAGCUAAAUGUUGGGUAGUAAAAAGCUAGCAAGAGAUAAACUAAAAGUGGAAAAGGUGAGGAUGUUGCAGAUGAAGAUCACUAUUCAAUCUUCAGCUCAGAUACUGAAUGUUGAUGAUAUGUGGACUUGAAUUUCAGAUUGAAUUGAACAUCACUAUUCUAUCUUAAACUAAGAUCUAUCCCAAGCACGCACCUACUCUUCUAUUCAGUUCCUCACAAUACACUUAUCUCCUCCCUCUAUCUCUUGUUUUCUUUCCCUUUUAUACCCAUGUUCCAAAUCCCGGACACAUGUCAGUAUUUGACACCGACACAUGUCAGUAUUUGACACCGACACAUGUUAUUAAUUAUAUUCAAUUAUUAUCAAUUUUUCAACCUAUUAUCGGAAUCAACGUGUCAGUAUCAUGUGUGUCUGGUGAACCAGUUGGUUUUUAAUAACAUGCAUGCUAUGCUACAUCAUAAGUAGAGUAAACAACCAAGAAUAUAGUGCUGAAAAAUUUAAGAAAGCAAAAUUGGAAAGUUUAAGAAUUUUACAUAUUCCUACAGUAUUCAUAUUUUAGCAACAUGUGUUAAAUUGAUGAUAAUGAGUACUGACCUUAACAGGAAAAGUUCCCAUUGGAAGUUUUGUUGUAAGGAGUUCCCUUAGUCGACGGAUUGCUUUAACUUUGUUUGCAACAAUGUCAAGCAAUGGCAAUAGUUCUUCAAUUUUUAAUGGAAAGUUUGGGGAAAGCCAAAGAAUAGGCCUCAACCCUUUCUUAUAUUCAUUUUCACGACUUCCAUCCUUGUGACGAUUUCUGCUGCUAUCAGAAGAAGAAGCUUUGGCAUCUUUUUUCCUCCGUAGCUCCUCACCUCUCACAACCUCAACAGAAUGUCUUCCUGGCUUAAUCUGAUUUCUCGAAGGAGAAUCUCCCAAUAAAUCGCUCACCUUUUCAUCUACGCAAAGAGAACUUCUUGGUGGCACAAUCUUCUUCGACGAUGCUUCAUGUUUAGAAUCUUUUUUUCUCCAUCCACCAAACCACCCUUUCUUUUCCUGCUUAUUUUCUCCAUUAUUGCUACUGUUUCCGUCUUCAAUAGGAAUAUCCCUAAAGCUUUGGUGAUGCCCAAUUAUCCCCUCAUCGCUAUCAUUGUUCUGUUCAGACGAAUCCAACUUAAGUGCAUCCUCCAAUUGCCUUCUUUCAUCUUCGGUCAAAAUAUCGUUAAGUUCUUCACUCUCGGUUUCAUUUCCAUUGCAAGAUGAGAAUAACUCGUCAUCUGUCAUAGCUCCAGGAACACCUCUAGAUUUUAUACUUACAACAACAUUGUGCAUAUCAUACACCUUAGCUUUCCAAGUCCCUACCAUUUCUGUUUUCUCCUGGCGCCUCCAAGUCAACUGAGGCAAAAGAACUGCCUGCGUAACAUCAAUACCGGGCCUAAAUAUAUUUGUUUUAGACAUUGCAGCCACUUCUUGCUGAACUUCUUCAUCAUUUGCUGCAAAAGCAGCAUCGUCUAGAGCAUUUAGUACCUCCUUUUCUUUGUGUGAGAUCAUGCAGAGUGAACCAGGUUGGACUUUCCCAUCCUCUGAACCAUCGCCAAGAAAAAGAACACUUUGAUCUGAUCUCUGAAUUCUAAAACCGUCGAAACCAGCCAAAGUCAUGUCAGCCCUUAGAUUCGCACCCCUUUUCCAAAUCUUGUAAGUAUCCGAAGGUGCAAUCCUUGAAAUGAAAGGAAUCACAGAACUCUCAAAAUUGAAAGUAAUCUCCAUAUAAAAGUCUCUCAUCCUUCGCAUAGUCGCAACCAAACGAGGCAACCUUCUACACCAUUUCGCCCAAGCCAAAGGCUGAUAAUGCUUGAUUAUGAUCUUUGCAAUUCGCUCUUCUCUACUGCAAAUAGCUUCUUGAAGAGAACUCCAACCUUGUUCAUUCUGCAAACUCCAAUCUGCACCAACAACCAUAAGCAUUUCAGCAGCCANNNNNNNNNNNNNNNNNNNNNNNNNNNNNNNNNNNNNNNNNNNNNNNNNNNNNNNNAAUUUUACAGCCAAAUGAAGAGGUGUAUCACGAUUCGGUACAUCCCUCCUAUCAAUCACAGCAGAUAUUGCAUCAGCCUUCUCUUCCUCUAAAAUCGAAAUCGCUUCCGUACGAACUUCAGACACAUUACACAGUUUAGGUAAACCCCCAAGUAUCCUCUUAAGUUCAACAUAAUCCNNNNNNNNNNNNNNNNNNNNNNNNNNNNNNNNNNNNNNNNNNNNNNNNNNNNNNNNNNNNNNNNNNNNNNNNNNNNNNNNNNNNNNNNNNNNNNNNNNNNNNNNNNNNNNNNNNNNNNNNNNNNNNNNNNNNNNNNNNNNNNNUCCACAGCACAAACAAAAGGGUACCUAUACCUAUAUCUAUAUAACCAAAAAAAAUUAUUUUAAAAAAACCAUUUUUAGAAUCAGAAUGAAAAAAGCAUAACAGAAAAUGAAGAAAGAAAGAAAAGCAUGAUGUGGGGUCAGAGAUCAAGAAGGUAUAGUAAGUAACUAACCUUUGUUCCUUUCUUCCAACGAUGUUUUUGUUUGUCCAAUGAUUAUUUAUUAAUUACUCCAAAAAAAUGAAGGUUAGUAAAAAUGAAACAAACCCCACCACACCACACAGCACAGCACAAACAAACCUUUGAAGUAAGAAACAAAAAGGGAAAAUAGCAAAGAUCCUUGUGAUCCAAUCCAGAUCAGACAAGCAUGGAGAGAACAUGCAUAUGAAUGCGUGAACAAAAAAUUCUAUAAUAAAAUAAUCAAGAAAAUAUUAUUAUAUUAUAUUAAAAAUAAAAAAGGAAAAAUUGAAAAAACACAAGACACAAGAAAGAAGAAAGUGUGAAGAGAGAGAGAGAGAUCUAAGAAAGAGAGAAAAACCCCACAAAGAGAAAGAUCAAAAAGAAGAAAAGGGAAAGUUGAUUGAUUAUGUUGAGAAAGGUAUAUCUAACUAAAAAUGGAUAAAGAAGUUUCGAAGUGAAAAAGAGUUAAAAGAAAGAUAAUUGCGAGGAAAAGAGAAAAGAAAAGAAUAUCGGUGGUGGAGUCAAAGGUUUAUAAAAUCGUGUCGUGUGUGUAUCUAACACCAUGUAUGUAGCAUUUACAACAACAUUAUUCAACACAAAAUAAAAUAAAAUAAAAUAAAAUAAAGACCAUAUAAGAUUAUUCAGCACAAAGAUAAUAUAAAGACCAUGUACAAAGAAAUUUCUAAGUCAAUUAUUUUAUUAAAUGAAACAAUAUUAUAAGUCAUUAGUUGAUUUAGUGGUAAUUGUUGCUGAACUAACUAUGAUUCGAUCCCUGCAACUAUGAUCGGGAAUGGCUGAAAUGUCAGAACUGACACCGAACCAGAUUAAAUUGGUGGCGAAAGAAAAAAAAUUAUAAGCUCUCAAAUUUGGAAAAAGAUUUUUUUUCGUCAAAAAAACCAAUUUUGUUUCUAUUUGGUCAAAAAAUCAUUUUUUGUGGUCAAAAAAACUUUUUUUCUUUUUGGUCAAAAAAUCAUUUUUUGAUUUGAGUUUUUUUUUUUGAAGCAUUUUGAUUUGAGUUAUUUGACUAAUUUUAGUUUUUUUUUUUUUAAGCAUUGACUAAUUUUAGUUAUAAUUUGAAAAAACAUGUGUUAGGAAAUUGUAGGAGUUGAACAUUGUACUUUCUUUUUGUAUAUAUAAUAUAAAUUAAAAAAAAUUAAUAUUUUAAUCUUUAAAUGAGACGAAAAAGUUGUGAGUUUUGUAAUUUAUAUUGAUUAAUAUAGUAAUUGAAGUUGAUUUAGUUAAUUAUAAAAAAUAAAUUGAUUUAGUUAAUAAGAAGUUGACUACGUCUAUUAUGGAGUAUUUUUGUACGGACAUGCGUUCAAUUUUUUUUGUCAAGUAGUCUGACGGCUAAAAAAUUUAGUGAAUAAGUGAGUAUCCGGAGUUCGAGCUCCAACUCCUGCACAUAUAGUGUGAUGUUCCUGCCAGCUGAACUAUGUUCAUGGUGACUAUUUGAUUUUAUUUUCACUUAAUGAGUUCAAAUUUCAUUAGUGAAUAAUUUGUGAGUACAUUUGUAGGCUAAUGCUACGGUGGACCACCUUCACAAGUGGUCCACCGUGAACAAGUGAUCUACCGAUUAUGAAUUUUACGAAAUUCACUAUUGGAUUGAAAGUUUAUAUCGUAUAGAUCAUCCAUAAAUUUUUUUGAAAAUCAUUUGAUAUGUUAUUGAGACCCAUCAAGAUUUACGUUAUUUAAUAAACCGUUAAUCUUGA
rnacentral:lncRNA from 1 species